rnacentral:rRNA from 1 species
UCUUAGUUCGUGGAGUGAUCUGUCUGCUUAAUUGCGUUUCAAAUUUUAUAUUUGUUAACAUGCGAGUCUUCAAUGACGGCCACUCCACCUUAUAGACAUUAUAUGAUAUGCACAUUUGUGUAUUUGAUUAUAACUUGUCUGGAGUCUGGCUCGAUUUUUUUGACUCAAUUGAACGCAACGGACGUGAUUGCAAGUCCUUGUUGAACAAAUUAUAUAUAUACUACUUCAUCAUUAGUAUAUAUAGUUCGCUUCUCAUGUCGUAGCAGUCAAACGGGCGGGCGUCUUAAUUGGCGCGGUCACGAGGCUUAAUAUGCUGCGGCUGGGAAAACUUGGGCGACCGCUGUAAUACUUCUCUCUUAAACCAGAGGAAGAUUGCGGCAAUAACAGGUCUGUGAUGCCCUCAGAUGUCCCGGGCCGCACACGUGCUACAUUGAUUAGCGCAGUGCGCAUACUUACAUAUAGAUCAUUGAUUGGUUAUUUAUAACCGUCAAUAUCGCCUUGUCUGAAAGGACUAGGUAAUCUAUUGUAAGUGCUGGUUCCUCCUCCCGUUGAGCAUUUUAAUAAUGGUCUCUCUACAUCCCUAGCACAUGAUGUCUAGUGCGAUUGUAGUUGAGUUCUGCCAUUUAUGCAAGUGUCAAUUCUCA